AAAUGCGAUAAGUAAUGUGAAUUGCAGAAUUCAGUGAAUCAUCGAAUCUUUGAACGCACAUUGUGCCCGCCAGUAUUCUGGCGGGCAUGCCUGUUCGAGCGUCAUUUCAACCAUCAAGCCCCCGGGCUUGUGUUGGGGACCUGCGGCUGCCGCAGGCCCCGAAAACCAGUGGCGGGCUCGCUGUCACACCGGGCGUAGUAGAUUUUUCGUCUCGCCCAGGGCGUGCUGCGGGUUCCGGCCGUUAAAAAGCCUCUCUUUUAACCCAAGGUUGACCUCGGAUCAGGUAGGAAGACCCGCUGAACUUAAGC
rnacentral:misc_RNA from 1 species